rnacentral:rRNA from 1 species
AGUCGAACGAUGAACCACUUCGGUGGGGAUUAGUGGCGAACGGGUGAGUAACACGUGGGCAAUCUGCCCUGCACUCUGGGACAAGCCCUGGAAACGGGGUCUAAUACCGGAUAACAGCUUCCAUCGCAUGGUGGGGGUUUGAAAGCUCCGGCGGUGCAGGAUGAGCCCGCGGCCUAUCAGCUUGUUGGUGAGGUAGUGGCUCACCAAGGCGACGACGGGUAGCCGGCCUGAGAGGGCGACCGGCCACACUGGGACUGAGACACGGCCCAGACUCCUACGGGAGGCAGCAGUGGGGAAUAUUGCACAAUGGGCGAAAGCCUGAUGCAGCGACGCCGCGUGAGGGAUGACGGCCUUCGGGUUGUAAACCUCUUUCAGCAGGGAAGAAGCGAGAGUGACGGUACCUGCAGAAGAAGCGCCGGCUAACUACGUGCCAGCAGCCGCGGUAAUACGUAGGGCGCAAGCGUUGUCCGGAAUUAUUGGGCGUAAAGAGCUCGUAGGCGGCUUGUCGCGUCGGUUGUGAAAGCCCGGGGCUUAACCCCGGGUCUGCAGUCGAUACGGGCAGGCUAGAGUUCGGUAGGGGAGAUCGGAAUUCCUGGUGUAGCGGUGAAAUGCGCAGAUAUCAGGAGGAACACCGGUGGCGAAGGCGGAUCUCUGGGCCGAUACUGACGCUGAGGAGCGAAAGCGUGGGGAGCGAACAGGAUUAGAUACCCUGGUAGUCCACGCCGUAAACGGUGGGCACUAGGUGUGGGCAACAUUCCACGUUGUCCGUGCCGCAGCUAACGCAUUAAGUGCCCCGCCUGGGGAGUACGGCCGCAAGGCUAAAACUCAAAGGGAUUUGACGGGGGCCCGCACAAGCGGCGGAGCAUGUGGCUUAAUUCGACGCAACGCGAAGAACCUUACCAAGGCUUGACAUACACCGG